rnacentral:rRNA from 1 species
AGUGAACGCUGGCGGUAGGCCUAACACAUGCAAGUCGAACGGCAGCACAGUAAGAGCUUGCUCUUACGGGUGGCGAGUGGCGGACGGGUGAGGAGUACAUCGGAAUCUACUUUUUCGUGGGGGAUAACGUAGGGAAACUUACGCUAAUACCGCAUACGACCUACGGGUGAAAGCAGGGGGUCUUCGGACCUUGCGCGAUUGAAUGAGCCGAUGUCGGAUUAGCUAGUUGGCGGGGUAAAGGCCCACCAAGGCGACGAUCCGUAGCUGGUCUGAGAGGAGGAUCAGCCACACUGGAACUGAGACACGGUCCAGACUCCUACGGGAGGCAGCAGUGGGGAAUAUUGGACAAUGGGCGCAAGCCUGAUCCAGCCAUACCGCGUGGGUGAAGAAGGCCUUCGGGUUGUAAAGCCCUUUUGUUGGGAAAGAAAAGCAGCAGGUUAAUACCCCGCUGUUCUGACGGUACCCAAAGAAUAAGCACCGGCUAACUUCGUG